UGCCGCCUCCGUCGGAACUGCCGCCUCCGUCGGAACUGCCGCCAUGGCCGCCGGAGCUCCGGGCUGAGUUUCUGCCACAUGAGACCCUGCUGCCGUCGCCGGGAAAGUAUGCCGUCACCGUUGCCGGAGUCGGGUCGCCGCAGCCGCUGGAGGUGGCUGUUGGGGCUACCGCCCAACCGGUUCAGAGGCCGUUGCUGUUCGGUUCAGCCGUUCUUUCUUAGUUUCAGAGCUAGAAUCCGAUUUGCUUGUGUCGUUUGGGGCUGUUUCUGCUUUUGAGAGAGCGGGCAGAGCCGAGAUUUUGAUUGCCGGUGAUUUCGGGUCGAGAUAAAAGGAGUUGGUUAACGAGUUGGGUUGUGGUUCCAAUGUUGUGAGGUAGGGGCGUUUUCCGAAAACUAUAGUUUAUUAUUGGAAUUAUUA